AGAAAAAGAACGUCAAAUAUGGUGUAGACGGGCUCUGGGUAGACCUACUUCGAAAAGUUUCAUUUCAACGUCACUAAUUUUCAGUAACAGGGAUAUACUCGGAUUAAUGCAGCAUAACAUAACAAGUUGUCAUGGAGCUUGUCUGUCGAUCUUCAGUCGAGUUUUUUUUUAGUGAUUUUCUCUGUCAGUCGGUACAUGUGUGACUGACACACCCGAAACACAACGGAUUACAACAAAUAAUAUCCACUGAUAAUCUUCUAAAACGCAACUCAUUAUUUACUGACAUCUACGGCAAUAUGAAGGACGUUUUACUGUUCUUUGUAUUACAUUUUUUCAUGGACGAUGCGUUUGGUGAGUCAGUAUCAGUGACAGAAGGUGAUUCGGUCACUUUACACACUGCUGUUCUUGAAAUACAGACAGAUGAUGUGUUACAGUGGAGGUUUGGA